AGCGAACGCUGGCGGCAGGCCUAACACAUGCAAGUCGAACGAAGUCUUCGGACUUAGUGGCGGACGGGUGAGUAACACGUGGGAACGUGCCUUUAGGUUCGGAAUAACUCAGGGAAACUUGUGCUAAUACCGAAUGUGCCCUUCGGGGGAAAGAUUUAUCGCCUUUAGAGCGGCCCGCGUCUGAUUAGCUAGUUGGUGAGGUAAAGGCUCACCAAGGCGACGAUCAGUAGCUGGUCUGAGAGGAUGAUCAGCCACAUUGGGACUGAGACACGGCCCAAACUCCGCCGGGAGGCAGCAGUGGGGAAUCUUGCGCAAUGGGCGAAAGCCUGACGCAGCCAUGCCGCGUGAAUGAUGAAGGUCUUAGGAUUGUAAAAUUCUUUCACCGGGGACGAUAAUGACGGUACCCGGAGAAGAAGCCCCGGCUAACUUCGUGCCAGCCGCCGCAGUAACAC
rnacentral:rRNA from 1 species